GUGCAUUUCAGGUGUGCGCCUAAUCGGGCAAAUGCGAAUGAAUGAAUUGCUGGAACGACAGUCGUUCUGGGUGCACUCAACGUGAGCCAUAUCGGAUGCGAUGGCUACGUGCCUGCUAAUUGCCCAUUUAACGAUGUGACGUACUUCAGCUGCGGAUUGCGUGUGUCUCAUGGAGGUGGGGGGAGUUGAGUGUGAGGACAGCUGUCCUUAGCACACGCCAUGCGGUUUUGUUGUUGAAUUUUUGAAUGCAGCGAAGCGCAGCGUAACGGCGGAAGCUCUCACUCAGCC
rnacentral:lncRNA from 1 species